UAGUCAUAUGCUUGUCUUAAAGACUAAGCCAUGCAUGUCUAAGUAUAAGUAUUAUACAGCGAAACUGCGAAUGGCUCAUUAAAACAGUUAUAGUUUAUUCGAUUAUUUUCUUCUACAUGGAUAACCGUAGUAAUUCUAGAGCUAAUACAUGCUGUCAAACCUGACUUUUGUGGAUAAGGUUGUAUUUAUUAGAUAUAAAACCAAUACCCUCACGGGUUUUGUGAUGAUUCAUAAUAACUGAGCGGAUCGCGGCCUUGCCGCGACGAAUCGUUCAAGUU
rnacentral:rRNA from 1 species